AGUCGAGGGGCAGCGUGGAGCACAAUGCUCUGACGGCGACCGGCGGAAGGGUGCGUAACACGUGAGCGACUUGCCCGUCACAGGGGGAUAACCGGCGGAAACGGCGACUAAUACCCCAUAUGCUGCGAUGCUGCAUGGCAUUGCAAUGAAAGAUUCAUCGGUGGCGGAUAGGCUCGCGGGACAUUAGCUAGACGGCGGGGCAACGGCCCACCGUGGCGACGAUGUCUAGGGGUUCUGAGAGGAAGACCCCCCACACUGGGACUGAGACACGGCCCAGACUCCUACGGGAGGCAGCAGUGAGGAAUAUUGGUCAAUGGGCGGAAGCCUGAACCAGCCAUGCCGCGUGAAGGACUAAGGCCCUACGGGUCGUAAACUUCUUUAGACGCAGAGCAAUAAGGUCCACGUGUGGACCGAUGAGAGUAUGCGUAGAAUAAGCAUCGGCUAACUCCGCGCCAGCAGCCGCGGUAAUACGGGGGAUGCGAGCGUUAUCCGGAUUCAUUGGGUCUAAAGGGUGCGUAGGCGGCCGAGUAAGUUAGCGGUGAAAGACCGGGGCUCAACCCUGGAAGUGCCGUUGAUACUGUUUGGCUGGAA
rnacentral:rRNA from 1 species